rnacentral:lncRNA from 1 species
GACGGUACACUUUAUAUCGGAUUUUCUACACUGUGUGCGGUGCACAAAAAAUUUCUCAAUAAUUAUAUCCUUGUCUGAUGUCCCAGUUGCCUUUUAUCCCUUUCUCCCGUCGGUUGGUCUUCUUUGCUGUAAAACUAAGCAAACAAACGUGUUGACUUGGUAGCUUUCUAAGCCCCCAUAUGAGAUUAUUCACUAACCUCGUUCCCAUUUUGCCUUACAUAUCGGAAGAGAACCACCAAAUUGAUAGCAGAGAUCUGUUGACCAGUCUGACCAAUCCCCAUGAUUCCAAUCGAUGAAUGGUCCUGAUCGAUUCCCCCUCAUCACAAAACCAUUUAGAUCAACUUGCUGACCAAUGUGAGACCCCUGGGGAGAAAAUUAUCAGACCAUGGCCUCCAUUUUGUCACAUGGAAAAAUAUAAGGGGACGAUACCAUCACCAUCACGUUUUUCUUUCAAAAAAAUUGACCGUUCCAAUUUGAUAAGCAUUGACCACGUGUUAUUAAAGACCGCUCCGGGCAACCGAAAUUUAAAUUUAGCGGGAGG